rnacentral:rRNA from 1 species
CCUACGGGAGGCAGCAGUGAGGAAUAUUGGUCAAUGGGCGCGAGCCUGAACCAGCCAAGCCGCGUGAGGGAAGAAGGUCCUAUGGAUUGUAAACCUCUUUUGUCGGGGAGCAAAAACUGCCACGCGUGGCGUUAUGAGUGUACCCGAAGAAAAAGCAUCGGCUAACUCCGUGCCAGCAGCCGCGGUAAUACGGAGGAUGCGAGCGUUAUCCGGAUUUAUUGGGUUUAAAGGGUGCGCAGGCGGAAGAUUAAGUCAGCGGUAAAAGUGAGAGGCUCAACCUCUUCCAGCAGUUGAAACUGGUUGUCUUGAGUUCGCGAGAGGUAUGCGGAAUGCGUGGUGUAGCGGGGAAAUGCAGAGAUAUCGCGAAGAACUCCGAUUGCGAAGGCAGAAUACCGGCUCGCAACUGACGCUGAGGCACGAAAGUGUGGGUAUCGAACAGGAUUAGAUACCCUGGUAGUC